AUCACCAGUGGAGACCAGAAAAGAAUCAAUUACAAUAUUUCACUUGGGAAUGACUAAUUGAAUUGUGAAACGUACUGAUAUUCUGAAGUCACUGAGGCAAUAAUCAUGAGCAGUGACCAGUGGAGCAUUUGGAAUACACCCUACAUACUUAUACUGGUCAAGCAAAAAGCAAGGGGACAGUCAGUGAGAUGGACAGUGUCAAACAUCCUUCCGAUGCAUAAGAAAUGCUUUCCGUGGAAUGCAAGAUGACUCUGUGGAAAGUGCUGUCAUGGAGGACCAGUGACUGAGACUUUUGUAAGUGAUUUUGUAAGUGACAGAUAAAUAAUGAGACAAACUUAUAGUGAAUUAUGAUAGUAACUUUGAAAGAAUUAUUUAAUAUAAUGUCUCAAGACUUGGAAAAAG
rnacentral:lncRNA from 1 species